rnacentral:rRNA from 1 species
UACGUAGGGUGCGAGCGUUAAUCGGAAUUACUGGGCGUAAAGCGUGCGCAGGCGGUUAUGUAAGACAGGUGUGAAAUCCCCGGGCUUAACCUGGGAACUGCAUUUGUGACUGCAUAGCUAGAGUACGGUAGAGGGGGAUGGAAUUCCGCGUGUAGCAGUGAAAUGCGUAGAUAUGCGGAGGAACACCGAUGGCGAAGGCAAUCCCCUGGACCUGUACUGACGCUCAUGCACGAAAGCGUGGGGGAGCAAACAGG